GGGUUUUGCGCUCUGUGGUCAGUGGAAUUGCAACAUGGACUCAAACACACUGUUGACUGUCCUGAAACAAGAUGGCUGGUGUUCUGGGCUGCUCUAAGCUAUGCAUGUUUCCUCUGUAUGUGGCUGGGCAGGGAGCCGUGAUGGCAACUAGACAGUACCAUCAAUGCAGUUGAAGCAGGAUGGAGUCUGAAGGACCUGACGGUGGUACCAGACUAGUCACUAGUAGACACUUGUUACUGCACUACCUCAAGGUCCUAACUGUUGUACUAGACUGGCCACUAGAAGGAAACUCUUUGCUGUGAAAUGAAGUCAAAGUGUUCUGCUCCCCCACCUGGUUGAGGUCCUAGUGUCUGCAGUCUAUGGAAAGCUCGUUGGCUGUUGAAGUGUUGCUGUCCUGGUGGAGUGGGAAGUGCUCGUGUGGAACACCGGCUCGCACUCCUGUUUGGGCAGCAAGGAAGUGGGACAGUCUCGUUGGAACUGGGAAAACCAGGCCAAGUCAAUUCAACCCCUGACUGUGUUUUGCUGAAUAAAUAAAUCUACAAAUGUGA